AUGAGCGCAAGGAGGCGCUGUGGAGACUGAAGAAGAGCACGUAAGAACUCUCCACAGUCUGAAAUCUUGCUGCAACGACCUCAUUUUGUGUUCCCUUGAGGCAGGGAGAAUGGGUGUUCUCACUUGACCCAAGAAGAAACUGAGGCCUGGAGAGGGGAAGUGACUGGCCCAAGGCCACACAGUGGAUCAGUGACAGUUCUGGGACAGGACUAGAACCCAGGUCUCCUGCUACCCCACCACCUGGAUCCCCUCCUUACCUGCAGCACUGACAGGCCCGGUGAGGCGUCUGGAAACUGCAUGGAUCACCAUGGUCUGCAGCAAUCCACAUAAUGAAAAAUUUA